GAGCCCAGGAGGUGGAGCUUGCAGUGAGCCGAGAUCGCACCACUGCACUGCAGCCUGGGCGACAGAGUGAGACUCUGUCUCAAAAAAGAAAGAAAAAAAAAAAGAUAAAAUUACCAGAAAAUAUUAAACAGGCAGCACUGAGAAGUGAAGGAAUAUUUGGGAGGAUCAGAAGCUUGGUCCUGAUUUUGCCAUCAACAGGAACUUGAUGACUUCAAGGGAGUCCCCAAACCCUGGGUUUCUGUUUUCUCAACUCUAACAUGAGGGGCUAGAUGCAUCUGGUUUAGUUAGUCUCCAUGAUGGUUUAGUUCGUCUCCAUGAUCCUGUGAAUUUCAGAUGUUGAAAAUCUUUGGAAAAGCCCUGAAAGAUGAACAGUCUUCACCAACCUCCUCCCUCCAGAAUAUUCCUCCAGAAUAUAAAAUGCCUCAUCAACAUGAGACAACAGCAGGAAGCACCCAUUUGUAGUAAUCCUCUGUAUGGAGGAGGCUGUUACAUAACCACAAAGGCACAAAGCUGCAGUUUUGAGAACAUCUUCCCACGCCAGUUCUAAACAUUGACCUCAACUAUGGUUGCUAACACAAGAAUCGGCACUGGUGAGUUUUGAGCCAUCAUUCAUCCUUUCCUAACAUACGAUUCUUUUGGAAAAUGGUCUCAAAUAGUCAAGACCCCCUGCUGGGAGGAGCUAUCCUGCUCUUUGGAAGAAAUGGGCAUGCCAGAUGCC
rnacentral:antisense_RNA from 1 species